GUUUCCGUGGUGUAGCGGUUAUCACGUGUGCCUAACACGCAAAAGGUCCCCAGUUUGAUUCCGGGCGGAAACA